UUGUAAUUUGGAGAAGGUGCUUCGGAAGAGAUAAAGGUCCAAGUCCCUUGGAACAGGGCGUCAUAGAGGGUGAGAAUCCCGUACGCGACCGAUUAUCGAUUCCAUGUGAAGCCCUUUCGACGAGUCGAGUUGUUUGGGAAUGCAGCUCUAAAUGGGUGGUAUAUGUCAUCUCAAGCUAAAUACCUGCCAGAGACCGAUAGCGCACAAGUAGAGUGAUCGAAAGAUGAAAAGCACUUUGAAAAGAGAGUGAAACAGUACGUGAAAUUGUUGAAAGGGAAGCGCUUGCAAUCAGACUCGUUUGCAGAAGCUCAGCCUUCCUCCGGGACGGUGUAUUCUUCUGUCAACGGGCCAGCAUCAGUUUCGGCGGCCGGAUAAAGGUUCUGGGAACGUAGCUCCCUUAGGAGAGUGUUAUAGCCCGGAGCGCAAUGCGGCCAGCCGAGACUGAGGUCCGCGCUUUUUGCUAGGAUGCUGGCGUAAUGGUUGCUAGCGACCCGUCUUGAAACACGGACCAAGGAGUCGACCAAUGACGCGAGUGUUUGGGUGUCAAACCCACACGCGUAAUCAACGUGAACGUAGGUGGGAGCCUUUGGGCGCACCAUCGACCGAUCUUGAUGUCUUCGGAUGGAUUUGAGUAUGAGCAUUGUUGGUCGGACCCGAAAGAUGGUGAACUAUGCGCGGAUAGGGUGAAGCCAGAGGAAACUCUGGUGGAGGCUCGCAGCGGUUCUGACGUGCAAAUCGAUCGUCAAAUCUACGCAUAGGGGCGAAAGACUAAUCGAACCGUCUAGUAGCUGGUUCCUGCCGAAGUUUCCCUCAGGAUAGCAGCAACGAAGAUAGCAGUCUCAUGAGGUAGAGCAACGAUUAGAGGCCUUGGGGACGAAACGUCCUUAACCUAUUCUCGAACUUCGAAUAUGUGAGAAGUCCUUGUUACUUAGUUGAA
rnacentral:rRNA from 1 species